GUCGUUUGUUAGGACAGCCCAAGCAGACUUGAUUUGGGUACCAGGAAGUGGAAUGCUGCUGUAACAAAUACCUAGAAAUGGGCAAGCAGCUUCGGAACCAGAGAAAAUGUGGAUGGCACAUUCUAAGAGUGACAUGGGUAAAUGAGAGUACAUCCUGAGGAAGUGACGGGAUGGCAGAGGGUCUGGGAAACGAAGCCUGUAAGGACCCGUUAAAGGAAGUGGAGGUGUUUAUACUAGAAGGAGAAGGCUUCAAGGAAACAGAACUGCUUUCAAAUCUCCAACAAGACAGGGUGUGGAAAAGGGAUUACAUUUAUCCUGAGUAGUUCACAAGGACAAACUAUAACCAAUAAAUGAAAUGCAUAUGAUGGAAGAUUUUGGAUUGAAAAAAGGAAAAUUCACCAACAAUUCAAGCUGUCUCACACGAAGUGGGCUGCUGCCCUCCGAUUCCUGGACGUCCACAAACAUCCGAGCUUUGGAGAAGCAAAUUCCUAGAUUAUGUAAAACAUUAUACCAGAUGAUAUGAAGGACCAUUCCAAAUCUAAGCUGCUAUUAUGUGACAUCUCCAAAAUUACAACUACUUUGAUUCACUAAACUUACC
rnacentral:lncRNA from 1 species